GGUUUCGAUCAUACCAGCCCUAAUGCACCGGAUCCCAUCAGAACUCCGCAGUUAAGCGUGCUUGGGCUAGAGUAGUACUAGGAUGGGUGACCCCCUGGGAAGUCCUCGUGUUGCAACCC
rnacentral:rRNA from 1 species